GAGGAAAGUCCGGGCUCCACGGAAACACGGUGCCGGAUAACGUCCGGCGAGGGCGACCUCAGGGAAAGUGCCACAGAAAGCAAACCGCCUGUCAUGACAGGUAAGGGUGAAAGGGUGGGGUAAGAGCCCACCGCAUCUCCGGCAACGGAAAUGGCACGGUAAACCCCACCGGGAGCAAGACCGAAUAGGGAUGACGCGGCAGGCCGAAAGGCCUUCCGGCCGGUUUCCAGGCCAGUCAUCCGGGUGGGUUGCGCGAGGCAGCGUGCGAACGCUGUCCCAGAGGAAUGGCUGCCACGUUCCGGUUCACGCCGGAGCCAUACAGAACCCGGCUUA
rnacentral:RNase_P_RNA from 1 species